rnacentral:lncRNA from 1 species
CCUUUCGUGGGUCUGUGGACUGACUGGCUGGGCUGAGUGGGUCUUACUUGGGUCUCCCGUGCAAGCGGAGCAAGGCAGGUUGAGGCCCCACUGAGCUGCUUAUUCAAUAUGACAAUUAGUGCCAGUGCUUGGCAGUUUCCUUAUGGAGUAUUCACCUGAACUUUCUGAGUGACCUUUCGGUAAGGUGUGGUUCUCGAGUGGCAGCUGACUUCCAAGAGUGAAUGUUCCAUAAGCAAGCACUGCAGGGAAGGAGGUGGGAGCUAUAAGCUCCCCAUCACCUUGCCUGGGACGUAACUUCUGCCGUAUUGUACUGGUCAAGCAACGAGCUGAGGGAAAUCAACCAUGGACAGAACAGCCAUGAGUAGAAGCAAGUGUAUGUAAGGAGCAACAGGAGUCACUUGGGCGAUCUCUUACUGCCAGGCUACCCUCUGGCUGCCAGAAUUCCUCCUCUCCCGCUCUCUUUCAAGACUCCCCGCAUUCUUGUCCCACUGUGGCAUCGGGUUCAGGAUCCAGAUCCAAGCCCAAAGAUGCUGUGCUUCUCCGGGCUCUUCAAGGACACACGCUACAAAUCCAGAGGCCUGCUAGCGAAAGGGACAGGUCGUCUGCCAUGUAUCCGCCCUCCGCCACAGUGAGAGGCUGGAGGAGCACCGGGACGGACCGACUCCUUCAUGGGGGGACAAGAUGGGAGGCGUGCUGCAGGUCCGCAGAGGCCCCAGUGUCCGUCUGGGCCAGCAGUGCCCUGAGUCCAGCAAGUCCUAUUUCUUUGGAACGAUGCCCCUACUUUGCAUUGCUCAGUCUGGGGCUUGAGGUCUCUCGUUCUUCCGUCUUUCUCCGUGACAAGACCAUCUUUGUGACUGACAAGCGAUGACUCUGGGCAUUUCUUGGUGAAGCACUUCGUGGUCAGGCUGGAGCUGUGGUUUUCAACAGCAGUCACCAUGCACGUGGCUAUGGCCGUUGGAAAGGCAGAUGCGUAGUGAAACUCUCCAGGAGUUGUGCAUGUUCCUCACCCCUCUCAUCAAAGCAACCCCCCAAAGUAACGCUGUCCUACCUCACUUGUGCGCCCCAGAUCUCACUCACACUUCCCAGGUGACAGCUCUAGCCCAGAACCACACAGGAGAAAGGAACAGAGGGUAGGAGAGACCAAAGUUAGUGGACACAGUGCGAAACCAUGAUAGUCCAGUCAGCAAACUGAGUCCCUUCCGGUGUUGCAGGCUUAUUCCCCUUUCCUAACAAACACUGCAAACUUAAAAGAAACCAAGUGAAAAUUUCAUACCUAUACCAAAUUGUUAUUUUUCCUGACAUGUCAAUAAUUUUUAAGAAGAAUCCUUGUUAAGAGUUGUUGCAUUAUACAGUAACAUUAUUUUCUUGCUGGCCAUUCAAAAUUAUUUCCUUUCCCAGCUGGGGAUGUAGCUCAGGGGCGCUGCACCUGCCUGACAAGUGCAAGGUCUUGAGUUCAACUCCUGGUUUAAAAAAAAAAAUCAUUCCCCUUUCCCCCUUCCUGUAAGCAACCUCUGAUUGCCUUUGUGAUGAUGAACUUGACCGGCAGCUUCUUGGUCUGAGUGAUCCCCAGGAAACGAUAAGCUGGGGGUCUCUAGAUGGGUCACGCAGUGUGAACCUUGGGACUACACCGGGCCCCUGGACCUUCCUCUUGGGCUGUUUCUUUCCGAAGUCCUCUCCUUCCAGGCUGCCAUGAGGUGAGCAGCCUCCCUC